rnacentral:rRNA from 1 species
AACACAUGCAAGUCGAGCGGAUGAAGGGAGCUUGCUCCUGGAUUCAGCGGCGGACGGGUGAGUAAUGCCUAGGAAUCUGCCUGGUAGUGGGGGAUAACGUCCGGAAACGGGCGCUAAUACCGCAUACGUCCUGAGGGAGAAAGUGGGGGAUCUUCGGACCUCACGCUAUCAGAUGAGCCUAGGUCGGAUUAGCUAGUUGGUGGGGUAAAGGCCUACCAAGGCGACGAUCCGUAACUGGUCUGAGAGGAUGAUCAGUCACACUGGAACUGAGACACGGUCCAGACUCCUACGGGAGGCAGCAGUGGGGAAUAUUGGACAAUGGGCGAAAGCCUGAUCCAGCCAUGCCGCGUGUGUGAAGAAGGUCUUCGGAUUGUAAAGCACUUUAAGUUGGGAGGAAGGGCAGUAAGUUAAUACCUUGCUGUUUUGACGUUACCAACAGAAUAAGCACCGGCUAACUUCGUGCCAGCAGCCGCGGUAAUACGAAGGGUGCAAGCGUUAAUCGGAAUUACUGGGCGUAAAGCGCGCGUAGGUGGUUCAGCAAGUUGGAUGUGAAAUCCCCGGGCUCAACCUGGGAACUGCAUCCAAAACUACUGAGCUAGAGUACGGUAGAGGGUGGUGGAAUUUCCUGUGUAGCGGUGAAAUGCGUAGAUAUAGGAAGGAACACCAGUGGCGAAGGCGACCACCUGGACUGAUACUGACACUGAGGUGCGAAAGCGUGGGGAGCAAACAGGAUUAGAUACCCUGGUAGUCCACGCCGUAAACGAUGUCGACUAGCCGUUGGGAUCCUUGAGAUCUUAGUGGCGCAGCUAACGCGAUAAGUCGACCGCCUGGGGAGUACGG